UAAUCUAUUCAGAUCAGAUUCCUAUUUAGUUAUAACAAAUUCAUAUCUAACUUCUUAAAAUCACUCCUUAUCAUAAGGCGAACUAUAUCAAUUUUGCUGCACACCAUAUUUAGUUAAAAAUCUAUAUAUUCUGUCUGUAAUUUCAUU
rfam:Populus trichocarpa isolate Nisqually-1 chromosome 6, whole genome shotgun sequence.